GUGAACGCUGGCGGCGUGCUUAACACAUGCAAGUCGAACGAUGAUUGGAAGCUUGCUUUCAUGAUUAGUGGCGCACGGGUGAGUAAUAUAUAGAUAACGUGCCUCUUAGUCUGGGAUAGCCAUUGGAAACGAUGAUUAAUACCGGAUACUCCUUCUAACUCUAAUGUUAGUCGGGAAACCCUGAUGCAGCAACGCCGCGUGGAGGAUGACGCAUUUCGGUGUGUAAACUCCUUUUAUAUGUCAAGAAAAUGACGGUAGCAUAUGAAUAAGCACCGGCUAACUCCGUGCCAGCAGCCGCGGUAAUGUAGCGCUGAGCGGG
rnacentral:rRNA from 1 species